rnacentral:rRNA from 1 species
UCAGGAUGAACGCUAGCGGCAGGCUUAACACAUGCAAGUCGAGGGGCAGCGGGAUGUAGCAAUACAUUGCCGGCGACCGGCGGAUGGGUGCGUAACGCGUAUGCAACCUACCUUAUACAGGGGAAUAACCUUUCGAAAGGGAGACUAACACCCCAUGGUAUUGAUUUAAGGCAUCUUAGAUUAAUUAAAUAUUUAUAGGUAUAAGAUGGGCAUGCGUAUGAUUAGCUAGUUGGUAAGGUAACGGCUUACCAAGGCGACGAUCAUUAGGGGUUCUGAGAGGAAGGUCCCCCCACACUGGUACUGAGACACGGACCAGACUCCUACGGGAGGCAGCAGUGAGGAAUAUUGGUCAAUGGGCGCAAGCCUGAACCAGCCAUGCCGCGUGCAGGAAAGACGGCCUUAUGGGUUGUAAACUGCUUUUACAUAAGACUAACCGUAUAUUUGCGAAUAUACCUGAAUGUAUUAUGAGAAUAAGGAUCGGCUAACUCCGUGCCAGCCGCAGC